rnacentral:SRP_RNA from 1 species
GCCUGGUGCCGUGGUGCGUGCCUGUAGUUCCAGCUACUCAGAAGGCUGAGGCUAGAAGACCACUUGAGCCCAGGAGUCCUGGGCUGUAUUGUGCUAUGCUAACGGGGUUUCUGCACAAAUUUCAGCAUCAAUAUGGUGACUUCCUGGGAGCAGGGAACCACCAGGUUGCCUAAGUAGGGGUGAACCUGCCCAGGUUGAAAAUGGAGCAGGUCAAAACUCCUAUACUAAAUAGUGGGAUUGCACCUGUGAAUAGCCACUACACUGCAGCUUGGCAACACAGUGAGACCUCAU